CACAUUCCGAACCCGGAAGCUAAGACUCUCAGCGCUGAUGGUACUGCAGGGGGGACCCUGUGGGAGAGUAAGACACCGCCGGAC
rnacentral:rRNA from 1 species